rnacentral:rRNA from 1 species
GAUGAACGCUGGCGGCGUGCUUAACACAUGCAAGUCGAACGGGAAUUCUUUUAUUGCAACUUCGGUCGAUUUAAUUUAAUUCUAGUGGCGGACGGGUGAGUAACGCGUGGGUAACCUGCCUUAUACAGGGGGAUAACAGUCAGAAAUGGCUGCUAAUACCGCAUAAGCGCACAGAGCUGCAUGGCUCAGUGUGAAAAACUCCGGUGGUAUAAGAUGGACCCGCGUUGGAUUAGCUGGUUGGUGGGGUAACGGCCCACCAAGGCGACGAUCCAUAGCCGGCCUGAGAGGGUGAACGGCCACAUUGGGACUGAGACAAGGCCCAGACUCCUACGGGAGGCAGCAGUGGGGAAUAUUGAACAAUGGGGGAAACACUGAUGCAGCGACGCCGCGUGAAGGAAGAAGUAGCUCGGUAUGUAAACUUCUAUCAGCAGGGAAGAUAGUGACGGUACCUGACUAAGAAGCCCCGGCUAACUACGUG